rnacentral:rRNA from 1 species
GUUUAUGGCCAUACCACCCUGAACAUGCCUAAUCUUGUCUGAUCUCAGAAGUUAAGCAGGGUCAGGGUUGGUUAGUACUUAGAUGGGAGAAAUAAACCAUCACUUCAGUUAAUA